CAUGCCACACCCUCUCUCCUUCUUCUCAUUUCAUGCCCAAGGGUUGGGUGUCCAUCCUUCUACAUGCCAAGAGUUGAGAAGGCUUUCUUCUACAGUGAGGAAUGAAGAGAAAAAGGUUGCAGUUCAAGAGUUGAGUUCGUAGUAAGAUCAAAGAGUUGAUCAAAGUUCUAAAGGGUUAAGAUUCUACUUGGAGAAGAAGGAUCUACCAUGAGAAGAAGGAUUCAAGGUUGUUCCUGAUGGAUACUUGUAGAGGUCGGACACGUGUGCGGCUUGAGAACCUUCGAAUCUCUGAGAUCAUCGAUUGUGGUGAAUUUCUACCCACGCAAAGGUCUUAAGAUUUGAUCUUAUUUUUAUUUUAUUUUUUAGAUUAUAUGCAUGUCUUUACUUCUGGGCUUGGGUAGGAUUAGAUGAG
rnacentral:lncRNA from 1 species